ensembl:antisense C130013H08Rik RIKEN cDNA C130013H08 gene
GGUGGCCGGGUGAAAAGGCGAGGUGGACAGCACCAGAGGUUUCUCCGAGUCCCCUCCGGGAAAGGUCACUUGAAACCAGACGGCGAAACCAUGUAGAGGCGCGGAACCAUAGCAGCUGCAGCGGAAGCGCCCGCCCACACCAGCCUCCAGCUCCUGCUCCAGGCCGGCUCGGGCCAGCUCGAGCUGGGCAAAGCGCUGCGGCCGGGCCAGCACGUCCUCUCCGGACAGAUCCUGCACCACGAUCUCCGAAUGGCCCAUGAGGCAGCGCGUGGCGAAGCUCUCCAUGCAGCUCAUAUCCACGCCAUAGUGCUGCUUCACCUGGCUCCAGAAACCCAGACGCCACUCGAGCAUCUGGUCGCUAAUCGGGGCCACGAAGAGCUCCGCGGAAGCUGGCAGGAGGAGACCGCCCUCCUUCAGCCAUUUGGUCCGCGCGUGGAGCACGGAGCUCAGCAUGGACUCGUGCAGAAGUCCGUAGCCCAUCCACUCGCUGACGAUGGCGUCCACUCGCUCCGGCAGCUCCACGGUCUCCACCGGGCCCGGCAGGACGUGCACGCGGUCCUCCAACCCGUUGAGCCGCACCACCUCCCGGGCCUGUUGCCAGAUGGCGCUGGCCUCCACCGCGUACACGCGCCGUGCCCCGGCCUGGGCACAGAAGAUGCUGAGAAUGCCGGUGCCCGCGCCCACGUCCAGCACCGUCUUGCCUCGCAGCGCGGCCCAGUUCUUCAGGAUGCCUAAGCGGUAGGCUUCGGUGCGGACCUGGUCGGCGAUCAUCUCCUCGUGGACCGAGACGUCGGAGUAGCACUCGUAGUACAGCUGGUCCCGCUCGCUCUUGGUCCUCCGGGGUCGUGGCGGGGCCGCCUCCUGCUCCCCGCCAUUUUCCUCCUCGGCUCCCUCCCCUCCGGCGCCGGCGCCUCCGCUGUCCCCCGACUCAAGCUUUCUUUUCUUGCUCAGCGACAUCUUGGCCCCGGCAGCCGACCCCCAGCAUUCGUUGCGCGGUGCGGUGCGCAGGCUCAGAGUCCCCGGGGCCUGCUGGGAUUCGUAGUCCGCUUCCUGCAUCCCGCUUCCUGAGGGCAGAGGCUCAACCAGAGUCAAUCUUGGCACACCGUUAUUUUCCUCUAACGCCAUGACAAGUUGUUCUCUAAGACCACACUAUUUUCCCGAGAUCCUUUCAGUUUUUGCCCUUUCCUUUUACCCCUUGUCAGGGUUCUCUAGAGUCACAGAACGUAUGGGUAGCCUCUGUAGAGUAAGAGAAUUUGUUGAUGACUUACAAUCUGUAGUCCCCAAAGAUGGUCAGCAGCAGCUGUGAAUGAAAAUCCAAGGAUCUAGCAGCUGCUCAGUCCCACACGGCGUCCUGGCAGAAAAAGUGAGUUUUCCUUCUUCCAGUGACCUUAUGUAGGCCUCCCGCAGGUGUGUCCCAGAAUAAAGGUGUGUAUCACCACUUCCGGAUCUGGGACUUCCUUUUCCCAGGCUGACCUUGAGCUUUUGUCUCAAGUUUCCUGGGAUUAAAGGCAUGUACUACCUUGCCUGAGGCUAAACUUUUCAUGGCCAUAUGCCUCAAGAUCUUCCUGCCAAGGCCGGGCGUGGUGGCUCACGCCUUUAAACCCAACACUUGGGAGGCAGAGGCAGGCGAAUUUCUGAGUUCGAGGCCAGCCUGGUCUACAGAGUGAGUUCUAAUACAGCCAAGGCUACACAGAGAAACCCUGCCUCAAAGAAAAAAUAAACAAACAAAAAAACCUCCACUCGGUUCAAGUCAGAAACCUGUGUCUUUCAGCCUCAAGAUCACAGGUGAGUGAGCCUUCCAAUUCUGGACUGUAGUUCACUCCAGAUAUAGUCUAGUUGAUGAUAGCCAGGAAUAGUCACUACACUCAUUUUUACACAUUCUUGAUGUAGGCACACCACUUACAGCUACAAGUCUAUGUUUCCCUCACAGGACCUCCCCCGCCCCCCACUACUGAAUUAUGUGGCACAGUUCUUGUCCCUUCUCUGACAGUUGUAACUCACCAAACUCUCUGUUCUAACCAGAGUUAGGAUACAAAGAAUAUGUAUGACGCAAAGUGAAAACCAAAUAAUACAAGAUCUUGAUUCUGAGUCCAAAGUGAUCCCUGAGGUACGUUAAGCUCCAGGGCAAAUACUGAAGAAGUGCUGUGGCCAUGAAAUGUAUCAGCCACCACUGUGUCUCUGGAGAAUAGUUUACUUGGUCUUGAGUCCUGUUCUGAAACUUCUGUAGUUCAAACUAAAGAACAAUUAACAUCAAGGGUAUGAUAUUCUCAAACCCAUUUCCAGUGUCUUUGGUGACCAGCUUAUAUAUACACAUACAUACACUUAAAUCUAUGUAUCUGUGUAAAAACACUUGCUUGGAGAAAUGGUGAAACUCAUCUCUUUUGACUUCUUUUCCAAUGCAAUUCACUUUUAAAAAAAAUUCUGCUAUAUCUCCUUUUAAAGCCAGAAUUGAUACCCACAGGCUCAGUUAUUUUAUUUUUUCUGUUAGUCAAAAAGAAGCUUGGUUAACAAUAAAUUAAUCUCUUCAUUGGCCAUAACAUAAAAACAAUAAUUUAAAGAAUGUGUACUGGUAUCUGGAACAGGAGCAAUGGACAGCACUGGCUGCUCUUCCAGAAGACCCAGGUUAGAUUAGAAUAUCCACAUGAAUGCUCUCAGUUGGCUUUAACCGCAGUCCCAGGGGACCUGUUGCCUUCCUUUGGCCUCCAAGAGUAUCAAGUAUGUAUGUGAUGUCCAAACAUAGAGACAAAAAAAAUAAAAUUAAUAAAUGUAAAGAUGUUAAACUACUUUCUUAUUAAGAAUAAUAUUUUUCAAGCUUAAAAACUGAUCACACAAAAGAAAAUGGGCUUUUAGCGUGUGUGUGUGUGUUAAAAAUACUUAACUACAUUAAACUUCUAGGCAACAGAAUUUCUUCCCCUUUUCUCUCUAUCAGUGUCGCUAAUGAAAUUGGUUUAUUAAUGUGAAAUCCUCAGCUGUACUUGUAAUCUCAAGGCUCCCAGUCCUGGCUCAUUAGAACCCUCCAUGGAGCUUUAUUGAAAUACCCAUGCUAGGGUCCACCUCAACCCAGCUAAAUGAGAGCCACUCAGGGGAACUCGGGCAUCUAGUUUUUAAAGCUGCUGGGGAAUCAUAAUGUGAAACCAGAUGAUUAUGGCUAAUUUUGAUUUAAUUAAAUCUUAUAUCAUUAUUUUCAAUAGUCAGGGCUCAGCAACCUAUAACUGAAAAUCCAUAAAAUAGGUAUUCUUCCUUUUUACCUUGGUUUCUUAUCUUCCGUUAAUGAAGUAACGCCUAGAAGAGCACAUGAGAUUAGUUAUAAAUGUGAGAAUUUGAUAACACACAAUGAGCUUUCCCUUAGCCUAUACUUCUCUUAUUCUGAUCUCAAACCGCCAGCUUCCCUUUUGGGUGUGUUUAGUGUUUCACUUUUGAAGAGUUAAUUAAUUAAUUAAUUAACUUUUGCUAUUUUGCUUGUGUGUUAUAGGAUGCUUGUAGAGGUUAAAGGACAGCUAAGGAGGUUGGGGCUCUCCUUAUAAUGUGGUACUUGGGAUCCAACUCCAGUUGUCAGGCUUGGCUGUAAGUGUUUGUCCUCCUGAGUCAUCUCCCUGCCCCAGAAUGUGUUUAUUAUAAAUCCAAUUUUUAAUUUACUUCUUUUUAGUUUCUUGUAAAAAAAAUCUUUAAAUAAAAGUUUGUCAGUUCAUCUA